ACGUGAAGUUGGCUCUCUGUGUCGGCAUGUCGGCCCUCAAUUGUCCGUACAAUUCCAUCCACCGUUCCGUGCCUCUUUCUCUCGGCUCUCCAAUCCCGGCCGCCCGGGCUCCCUUAUUGGACGAGAUUCGGGGUCGCAUCCCUCCGAGGCGAGGGGUGCUCGUUUUAAUCCGAUCCGAGGCUGCGAUCGCGCGCCGGGAUGCGAUAAUGCGGCCUCGCGCAAAAUACGCGAUGGACGACGAGGCCGCGUCUCUCAUGGAGUAAAGCGUCUCCCUCACAAGUAAAGAGCCUUCAGCUAAAGUACCCUCUUAAGCAUACCCUCCGGCUGAUACCUCUGGCGUCUCUGCGUCGUGCACACAGGUACCUGCGUAGAUCUCAGAUCGAUAGAUCGGAGCAGAAAUCGUUCCGAGAAUCGCAAAGGCCAAGGCAACGGCAGGCAGGAAAGCAGGAAGCAGUGUGCUACUAGUAGCGAACUGAGGUAAGGUCGGAUGAGCCGCAAGUCCCCAAACUUCUUCGGCGUGUCCCAGCAUUGCAGGAUUGAAACCCAUAUCGUUCUCGC